UAGAAAAAUGGGCGUACAAAUACAAAUAAAAAUACAAGCAAGGACGUCCAAGUCAACCGAAGAGCCAAUGCCAUGCACCACCUCUACUCCAAUGACGAUUCCCAGGCGGCAGACAACUGCUCUGAUCAAAUGAGGCCACAAAGACCAACCAGAUUCUUUCUUCUUUUUGAGCAGUGUUCAGGAUGUGGUAGCGAUUUAUCAAAUCAUGCCACAAACACAGUCCCGAAUAGGGCCUUCAAUAAUAUCUGACCGAAACUUUUCCAUAAAAAAUGGACCAAGAACAACAACAAAUACAAAAAUUAUUACAAUGUUAGAACGUUUCCUAGAUUCCCCAUUCCCCAUUCUCAUAGCACUUGUUCUCUUCAUUCUUUACUUUCGCUAUGCCCUCGUUCUCUUCUUUCUUAUCCUUUUCUUUACUUUCUGUUCCCAUCUCAUUUUCAUUCUCUUCGAUCCCCCUUCUCGUCCAUGACUAUGGCUGUUACUAAUCAUUCCUCACCUCCUCAAUCACCCUCUACCAAAGGUCCAAAACGGGAGUGUUUUAUAGGAACUGGACAGUGGAGAAUGCAACCCAAUUGGGGUUAAAAGGUUGGGUGAUGAACAGAAGGGAUGGUUCUGUGGAGGAUCUAUUCUCUGGUGAUUCUGAUAAUGUACAGGAAAAGGAGCAGAGGUGCCGCCGUGGCCCACCUGAUGCUAUGGUUAUUGGCUUCCAGGUUUUCCCUUCCACUGAUGACUCCGGAACUGGAUUUCAGCGCAAAGCAACAGUUUGAUGGGUCUUAGCGAAAAUUGCCAAUAGAAGAUUUCUGCUUCAGUGUGUAUAGUUCCUGGUCAACAUAAAUUACAGUUCUAUAUCCUGUUCAGAAAUUUACACGAUGCAGUUCUGAAUUAUCAAUGGUCUUGUUGAAUACACAAUGAAAUUUCAAGUUUAUGACAUAGUCUUUUAA